CUACGGGCGGCAGCAGGCGCGAAACCUUUACAAUGCACGAAAGUGUGAUAGGGGAAUUCCAAGUGCCAAUAUUUUGUAUUGGCUUUUGUCAAGAUUAAGAAUCUCGGCGAAUAAGUGGUGGGUAAGACUGGUGCCAGCCGCCGCGGUAACACCAGCGCCACGAGUGGGAGUCACAAUUAUUGGGCCUAAAGCGUCCGUAGCCGGUUUAGUAAAUCUUCUGUGAAAUCGUCAAGCCUAACUUAACGACGUGCAGGAGAGACUGCUGAACUCGAGACCGGGAGGAGUUAGAGGUAUGUUUGGGGGAGCGGUAAAAUGCUAUAAUCCCUUACAGACCACCUGUGGCGAAGGCGUCUAACUAGAACGGAUUUGACGGUGAGGGACGAAAGCCAGGGGAGCGAACCGGAUUAGAUACCCCUGUAGUC
rnacentral:rRNA from 1 species